ACCCUUUUUCAUCCUUUUUUUCUGACCGCGCACGCCUUAAAGUGGCAGCCAAUUGGAAAGCAAUGUUACUGGUAUACGAGAGAUUUUCCAAUCCUUUGACUAGCUUCUUCUUCUUGGUUGGGGAGACUCCUUUGACAGAAGCUUUAGGUAAUUGAAGAUUGGCAGAAAACGUCUCGCUUUCGAUACAUGCCUGCACAGCCUUAUCAAUUGCAUCAGACAAGUAAUGCAUAAAUUGUUCUGGCUCAUUCUUAUCCUCCUCCACGUCCACAGAAGUUUCAACCGUUGCCAAGUUUGACCUUCCAUGACAUUCACAUUCACAUGCCACUUUAGAAGUAUUUAAAUCCUCCAGGAGCUCAGGCUUGGCUUUGGUGUCCAGUGUACCAUCCAGAAACCUAGAAAAUAAUCACCAUGGUGAGAAAUUCUUGUACAUUAUAUCCAGAGUAUGCAGCUUUGCUAAAUCCUCACCUCAAAGGUAUAAUUCGGUUGAAAUGCACAAGUAGCCUAACAAUUUUCGCAACCAUUGCACUUGUUAAGUUUAGCUUCAUGGUGUAAAAAGACCGAGAAAUUUCUCAAGCAGUUAAAAAGCAAAGCUCUUUCACUUUGAGAAAUCUCCUAGGUUGGAAAGCUUAGUGACGUCAAACUAAAAUUCCACUCAUGGAGUUGUCCGUUGAAAUACCAUUCCAAUGCCUACCAGCCUCAAAGUGGGCAAAUAGUAUUUUUGAUGACCACUGCUCUAAUCAAUUGACAAAGAAUGGACUCCAAACUCGAAUGCUGUCUUGAAAACAGGGUGGUGGUCGAUUUUGCAAAAUGCAACGACGACGGAAUGAUGAAAAAAAAUCAUAUGUGAAGAUGCAACGAUCCAAUGAAUAGAAUCCAUAAUGUAGAGAGGUUAUUAAAGUAAUACCUUUCCAUCCGUCUGCAUACUCGAUUUUGCUCCUUGGAAGGAGAAAAGUCCGCUGCUUUUAAGCGGAUAGUAUAAGAAGGGCAACACGUAGUACUCAUAUCUGGCUUGUAAAGGACAGAGCCAGAUCUUCUCCAUCCUCGAUCAAGGAGAUCUACAGGAUGAGUAUCGAAGUAUGAAUUGCCACUCAAAAGAUAAAUGCACAAUCAUCGAAUGUACUAUAACAUCUAUCCGAGCCAUCAUUGCCACAGUAAGAAAACUAUUGGGAUAGAAACGACUCGAGUCGGAACUUCAGCAUCCACCAUAGCUCCAACAUGGUUUCUCUGAGCUCUUGCAGUUAAAAUACGCACAUACGGAAGCAUACGUGCGUGUCUUAACUGCUGAUAGAAUGAGUAGGCAUAAAUUUCCCUCAUACGGAUCAAGCAUUCGAAAUUUCUCUACUUCUUUCGACCAGACAUGUGCACAUAUUGAAACUACAUGAGCCGAGAGUCGAUUAGUUACAGCGCAUCGACAGUCCAGAGCUGCCCAGACUCUCAAAAUAGGAAAUCCCGCACCAACCUUGAUAGUCAUCCACGUUUAGGCUCUCCGCGAUCAAGCCUGCGAUCCAAGUCGAAGAGACGUUAAAAAACAAACAAUCCGAAACGGGAAAAAAUUCGUCACAGCAAGCCGACACACGCAACGAAGCGUCAGAUUGGAACUAAAGACUAAACGCGAAUCAGCAAUUCCAGCGACCGUGAACGUCACGACAGUCGACAAAAGCCGGAAAAAAGCAAACCCCGAAGCACGGCAUCUCCAGUCCCGAGCCACCGGAGCCCGGGCAAAAACCGUACUCAACGACACGGGAGGGAGGCAAACAACGAGAAACGAAGGAGAAACCGUACGGACCGUGAGAAACGCUGGAGGACCCAUUUGGCGAUUUGCAGUACCCGCAGGAGCUCUCCUGCCGGCCGCAGUCCUCGACCACCGACUCCCCCCUUCCGCCGCCGCCGCCGCCGGUCGCCUCGCUGCGACGGUUGGCCGCCAUCUCCGAUCGAAGCUCCAUCCCUUCAGCUGUUCGUCACCAAAGCAGAGGCAGAGAGAGGGAGAGGAAAUCGCCGGCGCCUCCGAUUUAUUUAUACGAGCUUCGAAUGGGUCGAGUGGAGAUGAGGACGGUCCGACCGGGACGGGGUGCAGUCCGUUUCCGGAAUUUGCAUAUAUAUAAUCCGUGGGCUGUUCAUUUCAAAGCCGCGAGGUGGUUUAGCCCCUUUUUUCUCCGGUUUUCCUCCCCCAGGAUCUUUCCUCGGAAAAGAGACGAAAGAAAAGUACCAUCUCAUUUGCAAAAAUAGAAAUAGCAUCGUCUUCACAAAUCAGCCUCUUUCGGACCCGACCAUGAAGAACCAUUUUUCAAAGUAAUCCAAUAUAAGGCUAUCACAUUAAAAAAACGUUGAAGAUAAUUUCAGGAGCAGAAGGUUGCAACGAAGUUGGAGUAUUGAUCCGAUCAUUUUCUCCGGAGACCCGUAGCCUUGUCGGAUUCUCUUUUGGAGCCGUGGGCUACUCUUCUCCCUGGCUGUCGCUUUUUGCUUGAAUGUCGACCGUCUAUGCCGUGCUUGUCUUUGGCGUUGCAUUGUAGGGUGUGUGCCGCGUGUUUGUGGCUUUUACAUAAUGGCAUCCUUCCACCGCUUUUGAUCUUUUGAAGUACGAGUUUUGAAGCCCUAAUCUUAUGUAUUUUUAGCCUCUUCUCAAUAUAUUUAUUUCCUUUCACCAAAAAAAAGAAAGGUAUCAUCUCCAUUUUUAUUUUUAUUUUGCCUUUCUAGUGGUGUACUCUGAGAAUAUUUCUCGAAUGAGGCCACAAUUUUCACCCUUUUUUUUUACCAAAAGGGCCCAUCGAAAGGGGGCGGCAAUUUGCGUUUCUUCACCCUGAGAGUCUCUCCCCUAAUAUUUUCGAUCCAAAUCAAUACGAUGAAAACUCCAAAUUGAUAUAUUUACAACAAAUUAAUUUAAAGCUAUUUUUUUAACUAUUACAAACUCCAAAUUGAUAAAUUCGUAAUAAAUUUAUUCUUCAUUAAUUUUCAUUAAAAAAUUUCAUUAAAUUACUAAAUUAGAUAGCACAUGACAAUAAAUAGGCGUACUAGUUUGGGGGCUUACUUUUUAUUUAUCAUAGUAUAAUAUUUUAUGAUUUUUCAUGGUAUUAAUAUAAUUUGAUAGAAACUAACGUUGAGUAAAAAAGUCACAAAUAUACUAUUUUGAAAAUUUUUGUGAUAAAAAAUUAAUUUAUGAUAAAUAUAUCAAUUUAUGAUUUUUCAUCAUAUUAAUUUGUUGCUAAAAUAGCUCAUCAUGACAUAAAGUCCGUUUUCCAUUGAGAAAGUAUCAGCUGGUGUUGGGUCCUGAUAAUCCAUAGUUCAUACAAGGGAAAGGGAAAGAAUAAUAACGAAGGAUACAAUGUAGGAAAUUGAAAAGUAGAGGAGGGCCAAAAUCGAAAGAUGUAUUUGCUCGUAUUUUAUAUCAUGUCCACACUCUCCACCAAUCAAAACGCACCUUGCUCUGACUGCCACAUUCGUAGUCUGAUCUCUAUCCCCAAAAUAUAGUAAAAGCCCUAUACCCACACAAAAAGUUUUGAGGAAGAUGUCGUGGCAGCCUGGCGGGGAUUGCCCUCCUUCUUUCAGAUGAUGAUGAUGACGACGGUGAUGGAAAGGUACUCCACUCAACACCAGCCAAAAAAAAGAAAAGAACAACUAGUAGUUAAAUAGUCGAUCCUGGCCCUUUUCAUAUCGAAGGGGAAAAUGAUGCACGGGGGGCUAGAAGCCUAGAACAGACGGCCUUCAACUCGAGAAAAUAUUUGGUGCCUGUCAUGUAACUAGCAUAACAAAAAAAGAAGAGAUCUAAAAAGGUGACACGCGAUUAAAGUAGGCCCAAACGUCAGAUUCCCAUGCACCUUCUCCUCCCUCCUCUCUCCUGUCUCUUCUCUUUGCCCAAAUGGCAUACUCCUCUACACUUUCUCUCUCUCUCUCUCUUCUCUCCCUUGCACGAUCUCUCUCUAGCCCGACUCUCCCUCUCUUCGCCACCCUCUCUCUAUCCCACCGAGCCCUCGUUUGACUGACAAACUUUGCCCCAACAGAGGCAAAGCCACGGUUUUUCGUCCAACGAGGGUUCGAUUGUGACUUGAAGGGGGAAAGAGAGAACGGCCGAUGGGGGGCAGCAAGCUAUCAUUAGACCAGCGCUGUGGCUCAUCGGUUGGACAAGGGCACUAUGGCUCGUUCGACGAACCACCACACAGCCUGACCUUGAGGUUGUCUACACCGUCACAAAGUUUGUCGAUCGAGCGCGGUGGCUCGUUCGGCGAACCACCGUGUGGCUCUACCUCCUCUUAGAAAGGUUGCCUCCAUUGGCGCUAACCAACUCCAAUGGAGAAGAGGUUGAACAAUCGCAAAUAAGGGCAAAAUUGAAAAACAAAAAAGCCAGUGAGGAUAUUGGGCAUUUGAUAAAAUUUUCAAAACUCACCUUGAAAAAAAGUUUGCAUUUGAAAAGCUGAAAGCUCUUGAGCUUUCAGCCUUCUCGGUAUGCAAGAAGGCCAUAGGAGGUAAAAAAAUUUCUUCUGAAAUUAUCCUCACCGACUUUUUGGUUUUUCGAUUUUGCCCUUAUUUGCGAUUGUUCUGCUUCUUCAUUGGGGCUGGCCAGCGUGGCUGCUAUGGCUACGAGGGGUUGGCAACGGGCCAAAGAGAGUAUGGCGCAAUCGCGGCGACCUAGGCAACCAUCCUGAGGGGAUCCUGUGACCUAGGCAAGUGCCAUAUGCAUUGCACAAGGCAGGCUAAGGUUACUCGAUCCAAACAGUAGACGACCCUCGACAAUCACACAACCUCUACAAGAGUCUGCUUGUUUCGUGAAACCUAGUUGGCUUAUAUUAUGGUUGAGCAACCUCCACGAGGGUUGUGCCGGUGAAGGUUGCCUAGGUUUGCAUGACCCAACUGGCCCUCGUUGGGGUCAAGUGACCUCAACAAGGAGUUACAUGGGCUACUUGACCUAGCUAACCCUCGUUGGGGUUGAGCAACCUUCGCAAGGGUCAUGUCGGCAAGGGCUACUUGGGUUUGCACGACCAAACUGGCCCUUGCUCAGGUCGAGUGACCUUUGUGAGGGUUGCGUAAGUCGCACAACACUCACUAGGGCUCGCCCAACCCUAAGCAGCCUUUGCUAGUGAUCUCCAAGUAGCCACCUACCCUUGGUUUGUUAGGGCCAAUUAUUAUUAUUUUUUCUUUAAUAAUUGAAAUGCUUUGUUAGUAUAAUUUUUCCAAAGACAAAUUAUUAUUAUUUUUUCUUUAAUAAUUGAAAUGCUUUGUUAGUAUAAUUUUUCCAAAUAUUAUUUUACUCAAUGGAGUCUUAGAUUACAAUUUAUUAAAAGUAAUUUGCAUAUUGAAAAACUCAUUUAACUUAAAAGUUUCCUGAAGGCUUUUCCCAAAAAUCCAACCAAAUACACCGAGAGAGAGAGCGCAGGGGGAGUCUGGCAUUUCGGCGAAAGAGAGGAGAGAGGAGAGAACAGUGCAGAGGAGAGUGGAGUGAACAAUGCGUGCAGCAUUUGGAUGAGAGAGAAGAGAGAGGAGAGAGCAUGCAAAGAAGUGACGUUUGGACCCACUUUGGACAUGUGUCGCCAUUUCGGUUCAUUUCUUUUUAUUGUGCUGACUACACAAGAAGCAUCUAAUAUUUUCUUCCUUCAACUUAGUGAAUCUAGAUGUGAUGUGAAGAGAUGACAAGACCAUCACCUCGAACAUUGAUUACAUAACGGAUAGCAUGGUAUCAACUUCUACGAAAAGUCUAUCGAAAUAACAAGUCAUACCUCGAUGUAUUACCUCCCUAGUCCUAUGCCGUCGGAUACACUUGACCCAAUGUGUGUUCCAAAAAGAGGAGCUCCACGAGUCAUGACAUUCCAGAGGAUGUAUUUUUGCUACUAAGCUAUCAACCAAGAACGAGAAUAACGGAAUUAUAGUCCUAUUGAAGCAGCGGCAACACCUUCAGGGGCCACCACCAAAGCAAUUGCCGCCUCCUCUGAAGCAUCAGCCACUGCGGCACCACUGACUUCAGGGCCAUCUGUGUUGGGUGCCGAUGCCGGCCAAAGCUUCAGGUGGGAUGGAGGGCUGUGCUUCAAGAGAAUCUAUUGCAUCCUUGAAACUUCAGUUGGUUUUCCUGGUAUAGGGGCUCGGACAACGACAACAGAGGGCUUCUUCUCUUUGAUCCUUCUUUCCUCUCUUAUUUUCUAUGGUGGGAACUUCAUUAGGGAGGAGCUCUGCAAUCGCCUUCCAAAAGUUCUUGUCAGCCUCAAUGUGGAACUUCCCGAGGCUGGCCAAAAACAAUUGAACCACAAAGGACAUAGCAUCAGAAAAGGCCAAUAGCAUUACCAUGACAACAUCCCCCACCAGACUGCCAAAGGUGACCGCAUAAAAGCAAUGGUCCUAUGCAACCAUCAGUGCUAUGAUUUUUUUGUGUUAUUUCACCCUGAACUGGACUAAACAAUAGAUAAGAUAUCCUUGAUAUAUCAUAACGAGUAUAACCUAUGACUUUAACCAAAUUCAAUUUCAGACUAGUAAGUUCAACCACAUUCAGCUUUUUCCCCAUCCUAUGCAACUUGUGUUAUUUCACCCAGUCACAAUAGAUCAAGUCCUAGAUGUAUUGUAACAACAUUGACGCUAGUCAGAUUUCUGACUAAUUGAGGUCAAAGACAUUCUGAUUUUCCCCAUCCUGCGUGAUAGCAAGUGUCCCAGGAAAUAACUGAGAUUCUAAUUACUUUCAUAUGAUAUGAACACACACUAGUAAUCUACUUUAAUUUGGUCCUAGAAUCUAUUCCCCAUAAUCGCUAGUGGAUUUAUAGAACUGAUAACCAUUUCCCGAACACAUAGUGCCCUUCACCCUUCUCCACUAACCACAAUGCAUUUUACCUCAUCAUAUUGAAUAAUGUCUGGAUGGUGUGCACUACCAUAAAAAGUAUGAGACUAAAGUGCAGCUCAAACACAUGAUAUACCGUUGGCGUGCUCCUCCUUUGCAAAAAUAUUAUUUGAUCGUAGUAGGCAUUUGAUACUUAAAAUUGUUUCUAAAGGGUACUUUAACUUGAUUGGCUCCAACUUGCAAGCAUGGGAGAUACUAACGCAUGUCAUACCUUAGACGUUAACAGAAAGCUGAUGCAUUGGAACUUAAUUUUCAACUCACGUCAGCAUUAUGCAGUUCUUCACAAUGAUUACAAAAUAUCAAUUUUAAAUCGAUUUGAUUAACUGUUGCAAAUGUAAAAAUCAAAUAUUCCACUAACAGUCGUCGGCACAACUUCCAUGAAUUAAAUGAGUACAAUUUAAUGCACUCGUGUGAUAAAACGGAAUCAUAUAAACCCACCCGGAAAAAUUGUUACAGAAACACUCACCAAAAAAAAAAAAAAAUCAAGUAUGAACAAAAGAUAAAUAUCAUGAAUUAAGUUUGCAAUUGUAGAUUGGAAGGGCUCGCCUUCACCUUUCUCCUGUUGGUUGUCUUGUUGUUAUCACAUGUUAUCGUCAUUUUUUCCUGUAGAACUCAAUUUUAUACUCAUCUGCUUCAUCAAUUAUUUGGUUCAAUAGCUCUUUCUCCAUCUUCUCUUUCUCUUCCAAUCGAACUGCAUUGUGUCCUUGCAUUGCUACAAAUUUUUAAUGACAACAGUCUUAUAAUAUAUGACGUCAAUGGAAAAAAAAAAGUACAUAGUGCCCAACAAAAGCAGGAAUUUUGCUUUGAUCAAGGUUAACAGUCACCAGCACUGAAGGGAUUUACAAGUAAAGCAAGACCUUAUAUCAUUUCUUUAGUAAAGUCUUAUUGUACAGAUGAACCAUAGUAGUAAAUUCGUACCUAAUCAUGGGCAUUUUUAUGUUAUUGGUGUGCUAAGGCUUUUCUUAUAGGAGUUAGGCGGAAAUCCCGUUUUUUUCCCCCCCCCCCCCCCCCCCUCCCCAACCACCACCAAAAAAAAUAUAUAUAUAUAUAUUUGGGGUAAGCAAAAUCACUCUUGAAAAUCUAGAUAAGAUCGCAUGGACUCAGUUGUGAAGGUCAUGAAAAUUCAUAAGCAGAUGGGAAUUUGAGAUUCUGUGAAAGCCGGGACAAUCAGACAAAGUUAACAGGAUUUUUGAGAAGUGAGAGAAUUCUAAGGCUGUUGUUAGUCAUUAGGUGGGUAUCAGUGUUGAGGGUUUCUCUCAUCCCAAUUGUUCCAGAUCCCUUCCAAUCCCCAACUUGCGAAUUCAAUCCCUGAAGCAUUGCAAAGAUCAUAAUUUUUCGCACAGAAUUAGCACCACGACGAGGUCAUCUGAAGUGAUCCUACAUGAUAACAGUACUAAGAUGCACUAAGAGCCAAAAAAAUUCUCUCUACUCACUCAAUUCACUCAAAAGCUGCUUUCUCUUUCUAGAAGUCUAUUUUCCCUGACUUCACUCGGCGAUUAGAGCAUCGCUUUCAUAGCGCGAGAAUCAUCAGUAUUGCCCUUUAACCUAAUCAUCACACUACACUUCUCAUCAGAGCACGAAGCUCUUCAAACCACCACACUGAUGUGACCACAAGAUAUCUCUCCCCAGACAGAAUGAUCCGCAGAACACAAACUCACUCUCAAAAUUCUGCAACAUCAUGAGACUCACCUCCUCCACUAUCUCAGAGCAAAUCCUUCCUCAGGCUGCAUCUCCAUCAGGGGCGGCAAAACCGGACUGUCUGCCUCCUCCGUCGGCCACGGCGUAGACCGGAGGGGUGGCUGGCGCCUAGUCCGAGAAAAAACCAUCCCUGGAAGUGAAGCUGUCGGCGUCAUUGUCGUCAUCCUCCUCCUCAAGUAAAUAGACCAUUUGCUCAGACAACUCUCGACCGACCACUCUCACAUGCCUCUGCACUUGGGCUUCCAGGUAUUUCCAAUCAACAAAACCAAGGGGCCGUUGCAGAUCCUUCAUAAAAGAAAUAAACCAGUGAGUCAUUUGGUAAAUCAAGUGUGUAAACAGGCAACUCACAAGAUGGAUCUCUGUUCAAGACACCAAGUAGAUUAUGUAAUUAUGUAAGUUCCAUCAGUUAUUUAUUUAAAAAAAAAAAAAAAAACUAAGUCUUAUUCUGCAAGGGGUAAAAUCAACUAAAUAAUUGGUGGCAUGAAUUAGAGAAAAGCAGGGCAGUAGCUGAAGAACUGUCCAGACAAUAACCCAUUGGCUUCUCCUCUCUAUAUUAAAAAAAAAGCCAGUGGAAACUCAAAAUAACAUUCCACAGUGAAACGUCAUAUAACAGACGCAAAAGGAGCUUCCCAAACAAUAAGGAGAUUUAUAGUUGCCGAUGAACUUUACAUACCUUGUAUCUCAGGCGAAACCCCCCUAAUCCUAUCAGAGUAUUUCCAAUUUCCUUAUCACCAAGGUCAAACAUUUCUUCAUCUCCAACUAAACGAUCAUUCGAGUCCUUAUGCUCACUUUCCUCAUGCUGAUGUUCGCUGACAUGAUCAGAAACUGGAGGCAGCAAUGGCUUCUCAUCUUCAUCUUUAUAAUCUGACAGGACAACAUACUUACUUCUAUCUAGCAGAGGCUUUGCAACGUUGAAGGGAACCCACCUGAGAUAUGCAUUAACUAGCUUGCACAUUAACUUUGACAAUAUGCACAGGUACUUAUUGCACAUGUAAAAGAAUAACAGAGCUCACAUAAUGACUAUUAUGUGUGAAGUAGUUGAACUAGGAGGGAUGAUGAAUUUAAAAGUUCACUUCCUCGCAAUUUGGAAGAUCCUCAAGGAAUAAAGAUUCAUCCAAAGAAGAAGGAGAGUGCAAGAGGGACGUACUGGUAACGAAGGGGACAUAGAAGCUCAGAUGGCCAAUACGCUGUUUUAUAUCUCAUCUUGCUGCAUGAAUGAGUGUAAAAGCCAAGGUAAUAAUACUGAAGACUGGGGCAGUGAACUUGAUUCUCCUUCACCCAAGAUAUUUCUUUCAAAGCCGAAUAUUUUCCCAAAGAUAAAAAGGCAAAGUCAGGGUCCCAAAAUAAAUAUUUACUCGACAAGCAUUUAGGAAGGAUAUCCACCCCACCAACCGCAACUAAUCGGCCAUCAAUAACAUAUGACUGAUGGAAAGACCCAAAACCGCAGGGAGGAACUGAACCAUCACUGGUCGAGGGAACAAAUACCAAUGGUGUGUCAACCAAAAAACUCCUGUACCCACUCUCUGUGAUAUGGUCUGGAUUGUCCUCAUGCACUUUCACCUGAUAUCGCCUAUACAACUCAAAUUCUUCAGGCUCAAAAGUGGAUCUUUUCAGAAGAAUCUCAAGCUUCUGCCUAUUUCCUGAACAACAUUUACAGCACCUCACCAUACAUCUUCUCUUGUUUCCACUUCUCCUUGGAGAUUCUUUAGAGAGAGAUUUUUCUUGGCCAGUCUUAUCCGCUGGAGUGUGCUCUGAGAUAGAACAAAAGUUCAGAUGUCCGUCACAUGCUUGGAUCAAGAAGCCAGAUGUUUCACCCAUCUGAGACAAUGACUGCGCCAACUUUUCUCCAAUACUUCGAGGUGUCAACUCAGAAGGCAGCUGGCCUACUGCCGAGUUUCCAGAGAACUUUGACUGUCUUUCAUCCUCUUUUUCUGACCGUGCACGCCUUAAAGUGGCAGCCAACUGGAAAGCAAUGUUACUGGUAUACGAGAGAUUUUCCAAUCCUUUGACUAGCUUCUUCUUCUUGGUUGGGGAGACUCCUUUGACAGAAGCUUUAGGUAAUUGAAGAUUGGCAGGAAACGUCUCACUUUCAAUGCAUGCAUGCACAGCCUUAUCAAUUGCAUCAGACAAGUAAUGCAUAAAUUGUUCUGGCUCACUCUUAUCCUCCUCCAUGUCCACAGAGGGUUCAACUGUUGCCAAGCUUGAC
rnacentral:lncRNA from 1 species